CGGGUCGUACGACCUCGGCAUGACUUGCGCGUGAUAAUUCUUUGGAAAUAAUAAUAAUUGACAUUGUUCCAUUGGCUUUAGAUACAAAUUGUUAAAUGAUGAAAAUAAAUUUGGAAAUUUCUAUUAGUAAAAGGAUUGUUUAUUAUUUUCGGUUAUUGAGUUUCUAGUUAUAUUAUGCAAUCCAUGCUUAAUUAUAACAUCGGUAUUUUAUUGUUAGCCUAUAGUAGGUGUCAGAGUCGACACUUCGUUACUACUCCUUCUAGGAUAGACGGGAUACUUACUAGGUACGCGUUAAUUUACGUACUCAUACUACACUUGCUACAUAUGUUUGUGAAGGUACAUAUAUGUCUCGUGGCCUUAUGGGCGCAGAGGUGUGGUUAAUGCGGGGCUUAAGUGAGCUGCAUUUCAUGUUAUGAUCCGCAGUCAGCAGAGUCUCCUUCAGAGUUAUUUAUAUUUUUCCUGUCUAAUUUGUAUUCCGGGCAGAUGCUGUAUUUUAUUUUACUCCUUAGUUGAUACUCAUGUACUUGUGACGCCGGGUUUUGGGUGUGAUUAUAGGUUGUUCAAUACUGUAGUUGUGAAAAUAUUAACACCUAGUCUAUAAAUCUUGAUCUCUUACUAUUUAAUUGAAGGAAAAAUUUUGAUUUCAAAAAUACUAAAAUGAGUAAUCAAGUUAAUCAAUUAUCGUUUGCUUGCCCGACAACGGUGUUAGGCGCCAUCACGACCUUUGAUGGAUUUGGGUCGCGACAACAUGGUAUCAGAGCCAGGUUCACUUAGGUCUCACGAGUCAGGAGCGAGGCUAGUAGAGUCUUGCGGAUCGGUACGGAGACAUCUGUACUUAUCUUCGAGAGGCUAUAGGAUUGUUAGGAGCACUUUCCUUCUUGAUUCCUCAUCGUGCGAUUUGAUUACUUUGAGGCUUAUGCCUUUAUUUCUUCUUAUUCAGUCUUAUGCGACGUGGAGCACUGGUUAUCAAUUAGGAAUCGAGGAAUUGUAAUAAUACUAAAGAUGUGGUGCAGGAUAUUUCUCCCUGCAUAAUUGUUUGGCUAUUGUCGUUGCCUUGCGGAAGGAUGCUCUGUCAUUCUAGCUUAGUAUAAGUACUGCCUAUGGUUUUGGUAUUUGGGCAUUGAUUGUUAUGAUGAUUCAUGUGUUGCUAUCGCAUAGUGAUGUUGUAAUGGUCGGGUGCUUAUUUAUGGAUCGCGGCAAUAAAUGACUUGAUAGAAGGAUUUUUUAGUUCGCGACUUAGAGGUUCUGCAAUUAGUUCCAGGGGAGAAAAGGCAAUCGGACUAAGAAUGUUCAGGUUUGGGUCGAUAGCGUGAUGAAACUUGGUAUUUUCGAGCACGGUGGAAUUUUCAUAUGUGAUGUAGCAUCGUUGUCCUUGUUGGAUGUGUUAAGUUUGCUGGUAUUAUGGUGUUUUUCAAUUCUCCUUUGGGGCAAGGUUGAAAUGGUGCCAAGGAAGCAGCUGUUAAAGAUCAUGGUGUGCAGUGGUUUAGGGUCGAAUCGGUGUUCCUAGUGUUAAUGGCUCGAGAAGGAUGAUCUUCGGAGAGGUUUAGAGUUGGUAGCGAUCUAUUGAUUCAAGUGCUAAGGGGAUGGAUUUUUAUUUAAGUCAAAUAUUGGGCAGCGAAGGACGAGGAAGGGCAUGUAGGAGGUGUCUUGCGGGGGUUAAAUUUCUAGAAGGCCAAGUGUGAGGAGCAGAAGUCGAGUAGUUGCUCAAAUGAGAGGGUUUGACCAAAGUGGGAGAGUGGCAGAGUAGCACAUGGGUUUUGUGCUAGGAUAGCUACAAGCCUUGAGGAAAGUUUAGAGUUUAUUUGGGAUUUCAUGGUGGGCAGUGACUAGGCCUACGGACUUAAUUUGGAAUAUUGGAUACUAUACUGAGGAAGAUUGGAUACAACGAAAAAAAGUUGCUCGAUAUGAAGAGGGAUGCAACAUGACUUUGGAUUGGAAUGUGUCGUUGCACCUUUAGUUGAUGUCAAUAGGGAGUGAACAAACUUGUACAGCUAGUGAAUAAGCACAGGCUCAGGAUGGUUUAUGGGUUUCAUAGUAAUUGCACUCAAUGCAGCGUCAUUGGAAGGUGUCGGCAUGGAAUUUCCAUAGGUGAGUUAUCUCCUGUGAGCAGGUUAGCGGUUGUGUGGUGUUGACGAAGCUUCUACAAAGCAUUUUACUGGCUAUCCGGUAAGAGGUUGAAUAUGUAAAUGUAGCUAGUGAUUCAGAAUGUUCAUAAAAUGUUAACAAAAGGAUUUUAAGGAAUUUGGCGGGUUUAUUGUGCAAGAUCAUGUCAAUAGGGGAUAAGGAAUCUUGGUGGGUUCCAGGGUUAUGUAAUAAGUAGCUUCAAGCUAAGUGGGAGAGUCCCAUCGCCUACGAUUGGAUCGCAUGGUUGUCUACUUGUGAGGUUUAUGGUUAUCGGCAUAUUGGUGGGUUAUUACAACUAAGGAAAGAAAACAUCAUUGUAAUUUGAGCAAAGGAUUUGGGGAAUGUGUGAUAUAUUUGGCCUUAUCGAUUCAUGUUCAAGUUUUGGGAAGACUCGGAGUUUAUACUCCGUGUGGAUCUGAUGUACAGGGGAAGGAAUUCAACUGAUUGCUUCCUUGAGAGGGUGUUCAUGUGCUAGGAGAGCCUUGGAGUUGAUUAUAUUCGGUACCAAGUUGGAGUGGGUGACUCUCAAAAAUGGUCCUAGCGGGUUCAAAAAGUAAAGUGCAGUGCCUAAGGAUUUUGAGUAUAUAGUAAGGUUAAGUAUCGAGCUUUUGCAGCGAAAUAUGAAAGGGACUUGGAGUGUUCUAUGUUAUCUUCGGUCUGUGGUGCAGCAUUUGAGGAAUGGGGGAAAAUAACUUCGGAUUCAUAGAGGAAUUAUCAGAAUGGGUGUACCAGUUAAAGAUGCGGAUAUGCGCACAAGGAGGGUAUGAGAUGGUUCGUGGGUUUGGAGACAACAUGGUCUCGUGGAAUGAGGUCACUCGGGAUGAGUGUGGAUUUGGGUUCGUUAUAUUUUGAAUGGAGCUAUUAUUAUUCCUAAGGCAAGUCUAGAGUAAAUUAGAAGAAGCCGGAUCAAUUAGCAAUAGUUGAAUUGGCAUAAUGGUGGCAAUGAUCAGUUCUUUCGGUGUGUUAAGUUAUACAUGUGAUUUGUGGCGGUUCCUGCGAGGCUCGACGGCCACCGUAAUUGAUUUUAUUUGGAGACAUUUGAGUAUUAUGACCUGUUAUGUGUAGAUGGAUUCCAGAAGGAUUAUGGUGGUUUAGACAACUACUUGCGGUUGUAUUUUCUGCCGUUAUGGGAAUUCAGUCGCAUGUUGCAAUGGUUCUCCUGAAAUGAGUUAAGUGAAAGGUUGCUAUAUGAUAGAGUGUUUAUUCUAUUAGUGGAUCAGGAGUUAUGAUGGAAUUCUUGUACUCCCACGUAUUGGUAUGUUGGGUGUAGUGAGUGGCAUGAGAAUCGGAAGUUGAGGAUCAAGGUUGUAGUUUGGUAUCGACAAGAAUGUCAAGGGCUCGGAUGAUCAGGGAAGAAUUCAGAUGCUUAGAGUAAGCUGGUAUUGUCUUUAGCAUCACCUGAGAUCGGUGUCCUGUGUAAAAGGCUUUGUGUACUUAUUAGAGGAUUCUCGAUUUGCCAUACAACAUUGUGUGGCCAGUGGCAUGGAUGUGCAGACUUGGUUACCUGGUGUGGAAGGUCACGGGAGCGUAUCCCACAGAAAGAUUGUAUAAGUGUGACAUAUAGUCACUUUAUUGAUUAAAGAUUGAAACCAAGUAUGGAGAUUAUGGUACUAUUGCUAAUGUGAGAAUUUAUGCCUGAAGAGCGCUCAGUUCAUUUGGUUGUGGACUGUGGAAGUUUGUUCCGGAUUUGGAGGUUGUUCUUUUAUGUCAUGGGAAAAAGGGGUUAUUGUGGAUCCUUGAAAGGUUAUUAGCCUAGUGCAGUACAAUCAGAAUCGGCUUGAGGUCUGUGGGUGGAUCUAGAGGUGAAUGUGGGCUCUAUAUCAGGCCGGAUGUGUUCAUUUCAGCAUAGCGUUGUUUACACAGGAGUCUUCGGAACUUAGAUGUUAUUUCUGUCGUCAGCUAUUCCAUGUAAUACUUUAUUGUGCCAUGCGGGUUGGGAGAGGGCCUGAUUAUUUGCACAUGUGUUGGGGUCCCGUAUAGCUUGCGGUGUUAUAUGAGCAGGAUGGAUCUUGAGAUGCAGGUCAUUUAUUACACCUUAGUCGUGCUUGAGUUUUGCAGUGUAUGGCGCUAUCUGUCUCCCCCAAUGAUGGUAUUAUUCACUUGGCGUGCUUCUGGUCGACAUUCUGGUAUUUCCCAGGUAUGAGCACUCUAGCUCGGUAAGUAUUUCCUUAUAGAUUGUUAUGUGUAGAUCGGGUGGCACGCCGCCACGGGUAUGUUGGUUGGACCCAGUGGCACGCCGCCAGGGGUAUCAUGAUUGGACCGGGUUGCACACCGCAACAGUAUCAUGUGUGGAUCGGGUUGCACGCCGCAACAGUGUGAUGUUGAGUACAAUUCCCCAUAUCUAUUCUUGUGUAUUUUGUUUCUCAUUUUUUGCCUAUAUCCGGGUAGUUUUAGGUUUACACCAUGCCUUGUUGAUACUGUUAUUUGAUUAUGUUUAUUAUUUGUCUUGGAAAGAAUUGAGGUUGAGUAUGCUUGCUAAUUGCCUUGAAAAGAGUUGAAAUUGAGAAUUUCGAGAUUUGAAAGUUUUCAUUUGAAUUUUGUAUUUUUGAAAAGAAUUGAGGAAAAUUAUAAUAAGUUGAGAAAUCUAUGUUCAACCGCGUGUCGCGCCCUGUUUUCUCGCGAAAGCGGGUUUCGACGUCAUGAAAAAUCUUUUUUGGGGGGGGGGAGAUAGGGUGUUAAAAGAAGAAGAGUCGCCACCUAGUAUUUUUUUAAGGUGCGUUAGGAAACCUAUUUGCAAAUAACUAUGUUUGACUAGUCAACGCCACCAAAGAUCGGGUAAGGGCUCAAAUUACCUCAAAGAGAAGGUGUUAGGCACUCCUCGAGGUCCACAACUGCGGGUCCCGGCCAAACUUAAGACUAUGUGGAUUAUAAUUAGGCAAGAUAAACAAAGAGAGUAUGGGUCAAAUGAAUCUAUUAUAACAUGAGAGAAAUAAGGAUUACAAGGAUACAACUAUUAAGUCUAUGUUAAAUGACUAAUGUGUAAAGAAAAGAGGGGGGUCCUAAGUUUUUUAGCCUAAAGGAUCACCCUGUGCAACAUAAAUAAUACUUCGCAACUCCCUUGAGGUAGGAAAUUAUUCAUAUUAUUCAGCGGGCACAGACUAUUAUCUCCUGCUACCCGAUUACUAUGUUAAAGUUGUUUACCUAAAAGCGCUCUAAUUCAAUUCUAAGUCGUGCUCUAUGCGUACACUACCCGCCCCAUACCUAGGGUCCAGGAGGCAUUGGACCUCUAUUUAGGGCGGUUCUAGACUUAACUUAGGUUGCUCAAAAUAAUAAAACUAGGCGACAUACAAAAUAAGUUGGACUUCAAAUAUGGGCAAUUAAGGGCUCAAGUUAGCCUCCACACUUAGACAAUAAAUUCACGCAAAACAGGUUUUCAUGUUAGGCAGUUUCAGAAUUAAAAUCCUUAAGCCAUAUACGCGUGAUUUCUAGGUGACCUUGGAUUCAAACGCGCAUAUAUAACAUUAUUUCCUUUAGUGGCUUAGACGAGGAGGCAGUAGACCAUCUGCUGUUAACGCCGGUUUUAGAUACCAGUUUUAGAAGAGUGAUAUUGUCCUAUAGACAUGAUAUCUAAUAGUGGCAUAGUUAAACAAAUGAGAAUAGUUCUGGAAACCCAGCCUUGACAAGUAGAUAAACAAUAUUAAGCGAAUGACAGUAUCCUAUAGGUAGGAUCUCUAGCAAUUGACAAUCGAGCCUUGAUUUUAUAACACUUUACCUCUAUGAGCAGGUUACCUAGGCGGAGCAAUAACAAUAAUAGUAGCUAAUUGAUUAAUUAAGGUCCUAUAGACAUGAUUUCUAGGUGAAAAUCAAUAGAACAUAAGCUAGUGGGAUCUUAUAGGUAUGGUAUUUAAUGAAUAUGAAGCAGUUAUGCGGAUUGAGAGAAUGUUUAUUUCUUAUAGGUAUGUUGUCUAGUAACACAUAGCAGUAGAAUAAAAUAGAGUGUUUACACCCGUGCUUCGAUGAUAGACAAGUUAUGUGUGUGUGUGUGAGUUUCCUAAAGGCAUGGUUUCUACCAGUGGAAGCAAGUCAGGUAAAUCACAUGAACCCUAUGGGCAUGUUUUCUACCCUUGCAUGCAAAUAGUAGAUUAUACUCGUUCCCCAAAUUUCACUAACACCCCCAAUUAUUUAUUACAAAGUUAUUACAGACCCAAUGAUGAAUGUAGUUACAAAAUUAUAAAAGCACUAAUAGUAGGCCCGCAGCAGGCCCAAAAGGAAAUACCCAGCAUUGCCUGGGCCUUCAACAACUCUCAUAGCAUACCCAGAUUUCCAACAUGGAACUAUAUUCAUCAGCACAGCCCGGAAAUCAUAGAGGAAUUCAAGCCAAACCAAACAGCAAUAGAUUGACCAUAUUACCCAAACAUUAAAUCACUUAAACCAACCAAUUUACAUAUUCAGUAGAUAGAAUGAGGGGAGAACUGAGUGUUAGAGAUAGCUCAAGCCUCAGUAGUAAAGAGAGUGGCUAAAAGACCCCAAAUCCUAGUAUGUCAGAGUUCACAAGAGUCUCAAAUGGACCCCGAGCAGUGCUCACACUAGGGAGGUCAGUAGUAAGAGUCUUAGUGGCCUUGGCUUUUAGCCGGACAAGAAUGAUAGGUUCCGAAUAGCACAGGUACCAAAUAAGAGUCAGUGGACAAUGGUUAAGGGACAAAAAUUGAGGAAAUACACUUAUAGCUUAAAGUAGACAUAGCAUAAUUGAAAACAUAGAACGUACUAGUUAAGAAGGCCAACAAGACUUAGAAGUAGGUUCAACACUUAGCAAAAUAACGCAUUAACAUAAAUGUGUUGAAAGACUUAGGGGAGAAACAAGUUCGCAAGAUUAACAAGAUUAUCAUACAAAGGUGCAUAAUACCAAACAAGUCUAAGUAGGGCACUAACUUAAAAGGUUUAAAGCCUAAAGGUCCAAAUUAUGCUAAGGAUUCAUCACAAUAUCAUAAGACAACCAUGUUAACUUAUAUCAUGAAACAGAACAGUAUCAAACAUGGUAGGGAAACACAAAUUAAGAAUAGCUAUUCCAAAGGUCUCAAAUAAUCACUACGGCUGCAAACCAAAACAUGUUGGGGGACAUACUAACAGAAGACCAAGUCAUAGUUGAUAGUGAGGAUCUUAAGACACAUUAUAGGAGUUCAAAACAGAGUGAAAAUGCAAGCUCAAUGUCAAAUAGCAAAUGUAGACAUUCAGGUAUCAACAUUAGGCUAAUACGAACUUAACAUGGUCUAAAUCAUUCAAGCGAACCAUAUUCAAAUAACAUAUCUCAGAACUGGUAGCUUUAGGUGAAAUUAAAUACUAAAGAGGCUCAAAGCGAGUGUAAAGCUAACAAAGUUGUACACAAAAGUAGUUCAGAAACACAUUGAGCCAUGAAUUUCAGAAAUAAGAAUAUGCAACUCUUAAAAGACACACAAGAACGAAAUUGCAAAAGUCAAGUGACUUACCAGUUAAACGGAUAACAAUAAAGAAAAAAAUUCCACAGUAUUCUGAAUCAACAAAGAGCAAGAACCCAAAAUCUUAAUGCGUCAAAGUUCCCAAGGGCUUCAAAGGAACCCCGGAAAAUGCUCGCACCAAGAAAAUGUUGAAAAAUCGAAUCCCAAUGGCCUUGGCUUUCAGCCGGCAAGUACAGAACAAGAAAAUGAGGGAAUAACAGAACAAAUAGCUUCAAUUUUUUAGUGAAAUCUAACAAUUAAGGUAUAUUUCAAAGGGGAAUGGGGAAAGGUUUAUAUAGUAGUAGAAAUCCGGCAAAGAAAUAAGAAAUAUUGUAAAAUUAACAUAAAUAAGGAAAUAAUAUCAUGUAGAAUCAGCAAAAAGUCAGAUUAGAGAAAGAUUAAGUAAACCCUAAUUAAUCGGAAAUUGGCCGGAGAUCUUAGCUAAUCAGACCCAUAUAGCCUGGCCAUGAUGCAUAUGGACGAGAUAUCAUCCAGAUUUAAGCGAUUGAAGUUGAAUGGCCAGAAUCUGAGAGAUAGUACUUGCCAUGCUGAGGCAAGUACUAAGUGAUACCAUGAUCAUGCGGGUAGUACUAAGAUAACACAUAAAAGGCAAAAAAAUCAUGAAAAGAAUCUAUGGUUGAGACGAAUUUGGAGAAAAUUGAGAUGGCGGCUAGGAUUUCUAAGGAGAGGAGAAGAGAGGAUUCAAGGGCGGAAUAUGAGAGAAAAUGAUAGGGUUUUGGGGCGGGUUAGGUUAACUAAAACGGGAGAAUGGCUAUUGGUCGUUGAUCAUUUGAGAUUAACGGCUAGGAUUAGAGGGGAAGUGAGGUAGGUCACAGAACGGGUCCCGACCGGGUUAUACUAAAGGGGUCAUUUGGUCUUGUCCAGGGGGUUAGGCUAAGGAUACUAGGCGAAUUUUGGUUCAAAAAUUAGUUUAAAGUUGGGCUACUAUUUAAAAUAUACAAAAAUAAUUUAUAAAAACACUUGAUAAAUAAAUAAAAAUAUUUAUGUACUAAAAUAAUUAAAAAUAAUAACUUAGUAUUAUAAAAAUAUAAAAUACUAUUUUGACACAAAUAAUAUAUAUAAAAACAUUUAUGCAUGAGUAUAGGCUAUUACUACAAAAUUGUGCAAAUAGCUUAACAAAUGCUAAUGUAAUUAUAUAAAAUGAAGUAAAAUUAUUUAAAAUAUAUAUUAUAGGUGAAAAUAAUAAUUUUAGGUAACUAAGUCAUCACAAAAUAAUUUGAAGAAGUAAUUAAUAAUUAUUCAAGUAAUUUAAGUACAAGAAAAUCAAUUUAAAAGCUUUAAAAAUUAUGGAAAAUUAUAGAAAAUGCUCGUAUAGAUUUUCAAGCUAAAUAAUGAUGCAAAAAUGAUGUUUUUAAAGUAUAUAUAUACUAUUUUAGAAAAUAUGAGUGCCAAAUUGGGUAUCAACACCGCGUCGCAAAUAUAUUCUGCGAGUGGGGAAAAUUUUCACUACUCUCAUGGAAGCGGGCCGUUCGCCUCGACAAGUUAAUAGAUGCAUCUAUGGUUCGUAUCGUUCGACCCUCAGCAGUGCACAGUUUAUAUUUAUAUGUUGGAUCGGAUCGUACGACCUCGACAUGACUUGCGCAUGAUAAUUCUUUGGAACUAAUAAUAAUUGAUAUUGUUCCAUUGGCUUGAGAUACAAAUUGUUAAAUGAUAAAAAUAAAUUUGGAAAUAUGUAUUAGUAAAAGGAUUGUUUAUUAUUUUUGGCUAUUUAGUUUCCAGUUAUAUUAUGUAAUUCAUGCUUAAUUAUAACAUCGGUAUUUUAUUGUUCGCCCAUAGUAAGUGUCAGAGUCGACCCCACGUCACUACUUCUUCGAGGUUAGACGGGAUACUUACUGGGUACGUGAUUUACGUACUCAUACUACACUUGCUGCACAUUUUUGUAUAGGUACAUAUAUGUCUCGUGGCGUUGUGGGUGCAGAGGCAUGGUUAAUGCUGGGACUUAGGUGAUUGCAUUCCAUGUUACGAUUCGCAGUCAGCAGAGUCUCCUUCAGAGCUAUUUAUAUUUUUCCUGUCUAAUAUGUGUUCCGGACAGAUGUUGUAUUUUAUUUUACUCCUUAGUUGAUGUUCAUGCACUUGUGACACCAGAUUUUGGGGUAAUUAUGGAUUGUUCAGUAUUAUAAUUUUGAAAAUAUUAUCACCUACUCUAUAAAACUUUAUCUCUUAUUAUUUAAUUGAAGGAAAAAAUUUGAUUUCAAAAUACUAAAAUGAGUAAUCAAGUUAAUCAAUUAUCGUUAGCUUGUCCUACAACGGGUUAGGCGCCAUCACGACAUUUAACGGAUUUGAAUCGUGACAGAACUGAUUUCAAUAUCAUAACUAUUAUUUCUAAAGUUGUAAUACAUCCAGAAAACUAUCAAAGAGCUUAUAUUGAAUUACCUCCAAACAGCUUAAGGAGGAAACAUUAUGACCAAAUGAAGGCCAGCCACUCCACAGCUAAAUGCAGAAAAUCAGCAAAUACUCUCAGCAACUUAAGAACAGCAUAAUCAACCACCACUCAAAAUCCCACUAGAAUUGAAACAAAAACCAGUAGAAAAAAAAAGGAAAGAGAAGCAGCUUUGAAUUCUUUCUUUUUGUUAUAUUUUCUGUAUCUAGACUUGAACUUUUCAACUUCUUUAUUUUUUGAAAAAAAAAAAAAUUAGUGUGGGUGAGAAAAGUAGCGUGAGGUUUUUUUGUAGACUUUUGUGUGUGUGAAAGGGAAGUGUGAGGUCUCUUUUAUAGAGUGUAAGAGGAAAAGGGGAGGAUAAAAAGGAAUCUUGUCAGCUAAAAAUUAGGGGAGGGCGUCUAUUUUUUUUAACAGAAAAUAGACAGCUGUCAUAUUUUUUUAGCAGCUGUCCUUUUCUCUAUUUUUUUCAGCACCAUACCCUUUUUUAAAGUAACCUUUUUACCCCAACGUCUAACCUAAUUUCUGGUUUUCAUUACACUUUAACCUCUUUUCUGGAAGCUUCCUAAGUAACUACUCAGAUUCUCUAAUUUUGGUGUACUCUCUAGUCUACUCAAUUCUUGCAAAUUACUUUUCUUUUAACAUUCUAUAUUACCUCCAAACAUGCAGUCUUUUAUCCAAAUUUACGGCUCUUUUUUCCUUAUCACAAUUAAACUAAACAAAGCUAAACUAGCACUAGGAUAACAACACAAAGUAAACCUAAAUUAUCAACUAAUUAACGUAUUAAUUAGGAAAAUAGAUAAUUUAAACAAGCAACACGAUUAUCAAAUGAUUUCAGAUUCAACUAAAACAAAUAACCACUUAGAAAGUCAAAAUAAUUUUAAUUAUAAACCUAAGCAUGCUUGGAUUAACAGAAAUCACCAAUUAACCCAAUCACACACUCACAUGAAAGGCGUGUAUUUGAAAUACUAAUCUAAUCGGACAAUUAAACACACAGAAUGCAAUUGUAGUUCAAGGCAAGACAGUAGUGAUGCUACUUUAUUUUGCUAAAAUGAACUAACUUGAACAAUUACAAUUAACAUAAAAAUUAAUCUGAACUAACGACACAUUAAUGAGAAAAGAGCAGAGGAGAGAAAUACCUAUAGUGUUUGAAUGGGUUGUCAAAAGAAACGGAUUUCCGGCAAGCCGGAGAAAUUGCCACACAAACACUGGCCGGAUUUCUCCAUGCGAGAUAUUGUUCUAUGCAGCAAAUAUCUCCUACUGACCCGAUAAAAUGAAGCAGAACAAGGCGAGGAUGAGUUGUGCGACCCAAUGGAGCUUGACCAAGGUUCUGGUGGUCAUGAGAUCAGUAAAGUUCAUGCAAUCAUCAAGAGAAGUCAACUGGUGUAGGUUUCGAUCUCAAAUGAGCCAGAAUUAGGGACAAAUUAAAAAAGGGAAAACUUUAAGGUUUUUGCGAUUUCUUAGAUUUGAAAUUAAAGGAUUUUGGGGAGGUUUUCUGGGAAAAUUGGUAGGAGAUUUGGGAUUAGGAGGGGAAGGAGAUUGUAUGGUGAUAAAAUUGGGCCAUUUGGUAUGGUGCCGCCGCCAUAGGGUGAUUUUCGGCGGCGGUAUGUCAGGAGAAGGGUAAUAGAUUGAGAGAUGGGGGAAAUGAAGGGGUUCU
rnacentral:lncRNA from 1 species